CUGGGUUUCGGACCUCGUGUCCACUCACCCGCCCUUUGUCAUACAUACCAAUAUCAUUUCGGCUCCUGGCUCUCGGGCACCCUCGCUAUUAACGUGGUGAGGUACUGCCUGUUGGCCGCGGGUCGGCAUUGCAAACCCAAUAGUGAAAACUGAAGUCUGAUACAAUUUUUUAAACGAAAUUA
rnacentral:misc_RNA from 1 species